UUUUUUUGUAUUAAUUCUCUUCUUUGUGGUGAUUUUAAAACGAUUUUACAGUAGUAUUUUUUUUUUUACAUUUAAAUCUAAUUUUCUAAUCAAAUGAGGUGGGAAUAAUUAUCUUAUUUUGAUUUGGGGGUUACUGAUGAACUAAAAAAAUGACAUCACUGCCUGAGACUUUGAACUAAAGAUGAUCUGUUAGUUUUCAAUAAGGAUGUUUACUAAAACGCUUCUCUGUAUGUACAGUACGUGACGUAUGUGUGAUGCUGGCUCAGGGAAAAUGUCAUCUUGCAGCAUCGUGAGGGUCCAGUGUCUCAGCCAUUUGCUUUGAUCAGUGCGAGGCGAAGGUCUCGGACUGUAAACUGCAUGAGCACCCGUCCAAAUAAGACACAAAGGCCUCAAAACACAACCAUAGCGACAGACAGAGAUCCAGCACAGAGCUUUUAAAGGAUCGGAAUCUUUGAGAGGGCAGAAGAAAGAAGCGUUCGGUGAUAAGGUGUACCUGUAUUUGUGAGGCAAUAAAGGAGAGGUCACAAACAACAGGAAGUGGAGCAGGGGGAGUGAAAGGUAAACAGGAACUGUUGUCAUAUGUGGAACUGAGACAGUGAUGAAUACAAGAAAACAAACACAUCUUUAUGUAGGUGUUCACAGGGCUCACGGUCUUCAAGCCACCAGCAUCUGAUAUCAUGCACAAGUUCUUGCUGAAGGACCUAAGUUCUCUUAGCCGGAGGCUUGAGCACCUGCACGCAGUGACCGCUGGUGGCUCUAGGACAAGAGGUUUGAUUGACAGCAGCCCCGGCUGGAGUGUUAUUCAUCAAGAGGAUGUAACACACACUGAUAGACGUCUUUAUACAGCUGUCAUUCCAAAGCUGUCUGUUCUUCAUCUCAGAGUAAAAAAAAAAGGUAAAGUAUUAGUGACUUUAUUUCUGGCUUUAUGUUUUGUGACUAUGCCUUUGUAUCUCACAACUGACUAUUUUUCUUUUAAUACUGACUUUAGUAUGUUAUUUUAGUAUAGAUUAUAUUCUUAAUAAUAUUAGUUAUUAUUAAUAAUAUUAAUAUAUUAAUAAUUCUAUAAUUAAUAUUACUAGAAAAACCAUAUGAAUUUUACAUGUGACAUGUGACGUACAUAAUAGUAAUCAAAGUACUUAAACUUAAUUAUUUCAGUCAGUCGCCAAAGCAACAUUUCUCAUUUUCAUUAAAAUGUUUAAUUUUAAUUAAAAAAAAAAAAACAUUAAUGCUUAAUUUUUAUUUAUUUAAAUGACCAAAAAUAAUUUUAAUAGUUUUAGGUUUUAGUUUUAGUUAACAAUAACAACACUGAUUUCUUGUCAAAAUUGAGCCUUUGUAAUCGCAAUUAUCUUUAUGUUUUUACUUUGAAGUGUAAAUAGGCUUCAAUAUGUUUCACAUACAUUACAUUGCAUACAGUGAAAUGUGCAAAGAAAACACAUUAGAAGUAGACCCGCUAGUUUCAAAUGGACCUAAUUGUGUUUUGUUUUCAAUCUAACAGGUUGGUAGUGUAUAGUAAAUAUCGUUAUCUUAGAAUGAAAACCAUUGCGUCAAUGAGAGAUACUCAGUAGAGCUAAGGUCAGCAUGGAUCACAGAUGCACUGGUCUGACAGCACAACUCCAGAGCUGAGGCUUAAGAAAGCAAACACAACCUGCAGACACCCGUCCUGCCUGCUGCACACUCUUCUACUGACUCAUGUGCUUCACAGAUCAAGAGCAGAACUCUUCCAAAGACCCUUUCCAGGCACAGAUUAAGCCUGACCCCGGAAUAAAGUCCUCCACCAAUAGAGAUCCUAUUUAGAA
ensembl:lncRNA